CCACUAGGCAAUAACAAAGUGGUUAGUGCCGUUUUGAACACGUUGUCUUCUUCUCGCAAUUCUUAUUUGCUUUUGGUCCAGGCAUGAAUAAAUGCGCCAAUGGAGUAUCACGAUACUUAUGUGUCCUUCGUCUUCUCUGUAGUUGAGAAGGUUUUCAAUUCUACUUGUGGCGGAUUCAAUUCUGUUUUCCAAUUUGCUGUUACAAUAUCCGGCGUGGCUGUUUUGGCCAUGAUCGACGAGAAGACAACCAAUAUUGUUGGGUUGAAUGCAGAAUCAAGUAUUUUUGGUGGUUAUCUUACGUACAUAAUAACUUUCUGGUGUUUGAAACAAAUCUUAACAUAUUUGUUAAGGAAACAACGUGCACUAAAAACCACCAUGGAUUCAACAAGGGGAAGAGGAGUUCGAGAUCAAAAGAAGAAGUCUUCUUUCAAUCAAGGAAGAAUGUUUCGAAUUUACGUUUUGAUACAUAUAUUUGGAAUCAAAACAUAUCGCUAAAAUCAUGGAAUACAUCAAAGAGAAACACAACAAUACAAGUGGAAGAGAUUUUAAACCAAAGAAUAUAAAUGGAUCUAAAUUGGAAUAACACCAGUGUAAUAAACCCAAAGAGAAGGAUGCUUUACAAUGCAAGUAAGAUUUACAAAUUGCAAGAAAAUUAAUAGAGUUGACACUCUAUUAACAGUGGCCCCUCAAAGGAAAUACUCUUCUCAACUUAUUUUAUUUGAUCUAUUAUUUUUCUCAUCAUUUUAAAUUAUGACAUGUGUUGUUCUUUCGUUAUCAUGUAUAUUAGUUUUAAUUUUAUUGAAAAUUGUGUGACCA